UACGAUCCCCGAAGUUAAGCAACGUCGAGCCUGGUCAGUAGCAAUAUGGGUGAUUGCUUGGGAAUACCAGGUGCUGUAAU